CUUCAACCUGCUGUGGCUGCUUUUCUGCUUCCACGGUAGACAUGGAAGAAAUCUUGUUCCUUACUCAGUUUGGUGUGUCUCGUUGGGUUACGGUAUUUACUGAUAAUGCUGUCUCCUGAAUAGAGCAUAAAUGUCUGUGGGGGCUGCAAGCAGUUCAGGGCACUGACUUCUGUUUUCAGCCUGUUUGUACCAGCUGGAAGUUUGCUCCAGUGUAUGCAAGCAGCAAAAUAGGAUUCGCUCACAGCCAGCUUUGCAGAGAUAUCGGCAGGUGCUGCGUAAUAACGUUCUGCAAGAAAAUGCCAGAACAGGUGAGAUUCGUGUGUUAAAAUGCUCAGAUCAUGUAUCAGAAAGCCCUGCCAUAACAGUUCAUUUCCCCUGACAUAAGCCUUCACUCCUUUGUCUGUCUGGGAUCUAAACGGUUAAUCUACCUGAGCAAAUAGGUAGGAACAUUCUUGCUUUCAGUGAAGUUUGACUCCUGGAGGCAGAUUUUUUUUUUCCAGUGAGUUCAGAUAAUUGGAAGGGUAGGGUGAGGCAGGAAACCACGACACACCUUUGUCAGGACUUGUUUAGGAGCAAGGGAUAGAAAAGCUCAAGAAGGACGAGAGUAAAACAGGUUAAAUAAAGAAGAGGUGAACAUUUCUGGAUGAUCACUCCGAUUCCACGCACCUCUGGAGGCACACAAUAUAAGGUGUAGGUGGCAAAUUUUAUAGGAAACAGUUGAGGAGAAAAACAGACUUUCAAUUCAGUAACCAAAGCAUACCAGGUGGCAAUGGUAUGGAUUCUGUAACGAAGAAAACGAGGCAAGAUGGCUCAGAAGUUACAGAAAGACUUAUUACAGAGACAGUAACGACAAGGCUGACUUCCUUACCACCCAGUAAGUAAUUGUGAUCCAUUGCAUUACUUCUGCUCAGUGACUGCAACAGGUCUUGCUGCAGAAAGACUUACACCUGAAGAGAAG
rnacentral:lncRNA from 1 species